rnacentral:misc_RNA from 1 species
UUGAAACGACACACUGCACCAGACUUUCAAUUUGCAUUAUUCUAGCAGAGAUUUAGGAAGAGAAUACAAAGAAUCAUAAUGCAAUUGUUAUUUAAUUAAAGAAGUUGUUCUACAUACAUGAAAAAAAUCUCUCUCGCACAAUGCCUAACUGUAACAAUCCCGGCCACAUACAACACAACAGCAUAAGAACAAAAGGAAAGAGAACAACUGUAAACUCUGUUCCUUUCAGAUUAGAAAAGACCAAACAAUAAAGAAAAACCGAGCAAGAUAAGCCAGAGAAUAUGGACCAAAAGAAGCGC